ACUAUUCUUCCGUUCUUCAAAAUCCACGGAAAAAUACAUAAAAAAGGAGGACCAACAAAAGCUGACUAUAGGACUGAAAAGGCUGACAGCCGCAGAGCAACUAAAAACCCGCUCCCCAUUUCCAAUUCCUGUAAGCACAACACACUUUGUUCAAUUGAAACUGAGCCAUAGAUCCGUUUGAACUCAUAUAAUAAUCUUACAACGAAGUGGUGCCGAAAUAGAUACGAGAUCCCUAUGCCGAUCUACUAGGCUCAAACACAAAUAGCCAUUUUGGGAUUUUCUUCCACAAAGAAAUAAAUUAGCCGAAAUACAUAAAGAAUAUACAAAAAACUUCAACACACCCAACCACCAUCUUCAACAGAACCCCCGAAAAUUCGACCACUCCUCUACACAGAAACGAAGCCAGCCGCACCUAAUUCCCAUAAAAUUCCAGCCGUCAUCACAUAACGAAAGAAAAAAACAAAAAUAGUCUCACACACAUACACACAGAGGAAGAAACAGAGGCGAGAGAAUGAGUAGCUAUUGGUCAUUUUUUGAGCUUGUCGGCGAGGUCCCUUCUGUGGUCGAUGGCAAAUUUUCCGGUCGAAAGGUUCUGUAAUCUUCAAGUUGGUGUAAUUUUAAUUCAAAUUCAUUGAAAAUUUGCUUCUGACGAGGUCCAUUUUUUAACUUUGCUUAAUUAAUUUUCACUAUUAAUCCUUGCGUGUUUGAGAUUUUAAUGAAAAUUUUAUUGAUUUAUGUUUUCCUAAUUAUGAGGUUAUGUCGCUGAAUUAAGGAAGUUAGCUCACUAUUUUAUGUAAUCACUUCUCUUAUUAAAAAUCUUGUUUGAAAGUACCAUGGUUUCGGUGAUAUGUUAGUUUAGCUAGAAGGUAAAAUAGGGUAAAACGUGGAGGUAUUUUGGAUUUUUGAUGACAUUUCUUCGGGCAGCUGACUGAAGAAUUGAUGUCACUUGUGAGGCAAUAUCCUUAAUUUGGUAUUUGGUUGCGUACUUCUUAUUUUCUAUAUUCUUGAUAUUUCCUUGCCCUCAUAAUGAAUGAUAUUGGGGUUUAAUUGUCAAUAGCCUGUGAUUUCUCCUGUCAUAAUGGUUGCAUCUCAGCAGUUACUGAUUCCAGCUAUGGUGGUUUUUGGGUUCGAGGUUUAAUGGGUUCAUUCUGUGUUUCUGAUUCUAGACAAAAUUGGUAAAAUCUGGUUAUUUUGGUCUAUUCGCGUUAGAAUAAAUUGGGGGUGCCAUGCCAAACAAAAUUUAUAAUCUAUGGCCCUCAAAAGAUUAGCUCAAACAUCCUUUGAAAAAAUUUGCUUGAGGUGUGCCAUUUCAGUAAAUAACUUAUGGCCCUCGUUAAUUAUUUCUAAAAAUCGAGGUGUGCUAUCAAUUGAAUUUUCCAUGGCCCUAGCAAACAUUGUUAAUUUGAAAUCUCGUAGUUGCUUUAGGCGCACUAUUUAAAUUGAUUUCAUUUAUUUAUUAAAUUCGGGUGUGCAUUUCAUGUGAUUCAUUUUCAAUUCUCAACAACGUUAAAUAGAAUGUAUUGUGGACCGCGAGUGCAUUACAUGUGGCGUGGUUCAAGGCGUGUUUUAAAUAACGUUGAAUCUUCUAAAAUGAUUAAAAGCGGUUAUUAAGUUAAACAAUGUACAAUAAGUUAAAACAUGUAUUAAAAUCAGAUAAUAGGCCAAUUAUACUAGUUUACGUGACCGUGCUAGAACCACAGAACCUGGGAAUGCCUAACACCUUCUCCCGAGUUAACGUAAUUCCUUACUUAGAAUCUCUAGUUCGUAGACUUCAAAAGAAAAGUCGAAUUUCCUUGAUUUGAGAUUUAAAAAUAAACCGGUGACUUGGGACACCAAUUAAAAUAUUCCAAGUGGCGACUCUAAAAAUCAAAUAAAUAAUCCUAUUUCGAAUAGUGUCACUUAAAGUGGAAAAAUUCCCUUAUAUACCCUCUCGGGCGUGUAAAAAGGAGGUGUGACAGCUCUGGCUACUCCACUGGGGAUAAGAACCCAGAAUCUUUGGUUCAGGGUUUAAGAAUUCUAGCUUAGAAUAACUGUUAUAGUUGUCUUGUUUUAUUUGAUUUUUACAUGUUGAGCCUAAUGUGCUAAAUGCCGCUUUUACCGCUUUGAUAUUGUUUGGACUAUAUAUAAAUUGCUACGAAACCCUCCUCUCUCUGAGUCUUCUAAAUCAUCUGGGAAGUGUGCACUUCGUGUGACUUCUUUUCUGUUAGAGUCUUAUCCCAAUUUUAGAACGAGGUUCGGACAAGUUGCAAAGCCGGUGAAGCUUCUGUAUUCCCAGUACGCUGCCUCCCCCUCGGCUUGAGCUGUCUGCUCGGGUAAGCCAGAUCUAGAAUAACACACCCAGGUUUUAAACCUAGUAUAACAAAGCCUCAUGCCGGAUCCCUAGUAAGUCUAAAAGACCAUCCUGAUGCAUUCUACUUGCUACUUGUGCAUUUAUUUGCUUCAGAUUUGCAUGUUGACUGACUUAUGAAGAAUAGGAGAAAAGUUGGGAAAAAGAAAAAUCAAUGUCAGGGCUGAGAGAGAUAAUUGCCUGUUUUUUGAAAAACCCGAUGUCCAAAAGGUACCGAAAUUCUGCCAAAAUUUUGAAAAAAAAGAAAGAAAAUUUUGUUUAAAAAAAAGUUAGUAUCGUUUUAUUAUGUCAAAUCUGUCCGAACUACGCCAGUCUGAUUCUCACCGGAUGUGAGAUACGUAGGCAAACCUCAUCGGUUCCGACCCCAAUUUUCAAAAAAUCCAAAAGAUAUUUUCCAUUAGUUCCUUCUUUAAAAAUCUUUCCUUAGAAAAUUCAAAAAAAGAAAGUUUUUUUAAAAACUCAAAAAUUUGUUUCCAUCUUUUUAAAGUCUUUCAUACAGAAAGAAAAAAAAUCAAAAUCCAAAAUACAGAUUUCCUUUAUUUUGAAGUAUUUUUCUCAAAUAUUAAAAAAAAUGAAAACAAAAAAAAACUUUUCCUUGUUUAAAAGUCUUUCUUUCAAAAAAAAAUUUGAAAAAUUAAAGUCUAAAAAUAUUUUUGCUUUUCGUUAGAAGUACUUUUGUCAAUAAAUAAAAAGUUCAGAAAUUCAAAACAUUUUUCUUAAAAAAUCCCUCUUUCGAAAAUUAAGACAACAUCCAAAAUCCAAAAAUAUUUUCUUUCUUCUUUAGAAAAAGAGAAAACAAAUGAAAAUUCAAAAAAAAAAGAGUUAGCUUAUUUACUCCAUUCUCUAUCUUUCCGAACUACGCAAGAUCUGAUUCAUGCGCUGUCAUGAUACGUAAGCAAUCCCCAUCGGAUUCGAUCAUAGCCAUAAAAUUAGUUGAGUGAUAAAAUAAACUGAAAAAUUGAGAAAAAAAAGGGAAAGAAAAAAGUGAAAAAGAAAAGAAAAGAGAGAGUGACAAAAAAUAAAAUAGUGACAAAAACAAAACAAAAAAAAGAAAAGAGUGCCAAAAAAUAUAAAGAGUGACAAAAACGAAAUGAAAAAAAAAUCAAAAGUGAUUAAGAGAGGCAGAAAUAAAAAAAAAGUGGUACAUACUGAAAGGGUUAACUAAGGCCGGGAUGAAACAUGCAACUGUUCAAAUACAUGGUAGAAACGUUUAAUUGUUAGGUGUAUUGCAUCCCAACGUGCGAUUUCCUAUAUGUUAAAUGUCUCAAAACUAACAAGGUUGUUCGAUGUGCAAAAAGUCAGGUUUUGGUGGUUGGUUCUGUUGGUAGUCUAGGCUCCCCUCCUUCACAACAUCAAAAGGCACAGAUGACCUCCGCAAGCAAUCUACCCAUCAUCGGUCCUGAGGAUAGCCCGGUAUCAGCUAUUCUGCAACUAUAAUCAACAGCUGCUGAAGAGAAUAAAAUGUUGCGUCUCAUCAUAUUGGAAAUGUGGGACGCCUGGUCUAAUGGUAGGGAACCGCCAAGUGCAAUCCCUGGGUUUCCUGAGUUGAUCCCCAGGUCAGGUGAGGAUAUCAACACCCUUAUUCCCAACCGGCUUAUCCCAUGCGGGCACCCUCCAAUGCCCUCCAAUGAUCCUGGUAUGCCUUCUGUGGUUCUCCCCCAAGCACCAGCUUCAAGGGUACCGCCUCCAAUGUUCAUCUUUCAAGGUCCAGAGCUUCAGUCAGAAAUAGCAUAUGUGACCCCAUAUUCUUUCACUCAACCUCCGUAAUAUGAUCUAUCGAUGGAGAAAGAAAGGGUUGUUAAAAAUAUCGAGCAAGAGGAAAUGGCUCAAAAGAUGAAGAGCUUGGAACAAGGCCUAAAAAACAUGCAAGGUCUGAGUGGCCAAAAGAGUGUCUCAUACUCUGACCUCUAUAUGUUUCCCCAUGUUCAUUUGCCAGCUAGUUUCAAGAUGCCUAAAUUUAAAAAGUAUCGGUCGCUCAUUUGAAAUGAUGCUGCAACCAGUUAAGGGGUGCUGGUGGAAAAGAGGAGUUGCUAAUGACCUAUUUUGGGGAAAGCCUCACCGGAAUAGCUUUUGAGUAGUAUAUAUAUCAAGAAAUUCCUUAUUGGCAUGUGUGGGACGAUAUGGCUCGCGAUUUUGUCUGCCAGUUCCAAUAUAAUGUGGACAUCGCGUCCGACAGAAACUCCUUGUCCAAUUUGAAAAAGAAAACCGUGGAAAGCUUCCGCGAAUAUGCUGUCAAAUGGCGUGAGCAAGCUACCAGGGUAAAGCCUCUAAUGGAUGAAAGUGAAAUGGUCACGGUCUUUCUACAGGCCCAACAGGCGGACUACUUCCAGAACAUGAUGUCCGCUAUGGGAAAGCCGUUUGCUGAGGCUAUCGAAAUUGGGGAGAUGGUUGAAAAAGGUCUAAAAAUGGGUCGAAUCUUGAUUUAUGUUGCUUUUAAAGCCACAUCAUCAGAUGUUCAAAAUGGUUCGGAGGGUUUGAUGAACAGAAAUGGGAGUGAGGAGGGAGUCAUGACGGUUUCAAGCUCGAGAAGGGCCCGCAGGUCAUUCAGCCAGUCAUGUGUGCCUCCUAUGGUCCCACCACACUAUUAUCCCCUUCAAGAUGAUGCUUAUGCUGUGGCACCGCCUCCAUAUGCAGUGAUUAGCGCGAAAUCUUACACGCAACCACAACAUCAUACACAAAACCGAGCUCCACCUCCCAGAAAUGUCAAUCAUUACCAAGAUCCAUAUAAUCCUUAACCAAAUGAUCCCCAAUACAAUCCUCGCCUAAGAGAGCCUUUCAGAAAUAAUCAGUUCACCCCGAUUGGUGAAUCGUAUUCAAGCUUCCAAAAGCUAAUCAGGCUAGAUCUAUUGCAGCCAGUGGCCCCGAACCGGCCAAACCCCGAGUCCCCCUCACAUCGAGCUGACGCUAGAUGUGAAUACCACUCUAGAGCAGUAAGACACAGUACGAAGGACUGUUGGACCCUCAAAAGGGCAGUUGAAGAUUUGAUUGAAGUUGAAAGAAUCGUUUUUCGGGAUGAAGAAACUCCUGAUAUGAUGAACAAUCUGUUGCUUGCCCAUAACAUCUGGCCAAUGGUCGGAAUGAUUUGUGAAGCUGAGGAAUUUGAUCCUGCACUGAAAGCCGUUGCAGCCAUUGCCGAGAUAGAAGAAAAUCCAAAAAAUGGUCGCCAAUCAUGACAGUUUCCCAUCAGACGGGAGUCUUAGUAGCCAGACUUGCUAUCUUUUCUGUGUCCGGAUUAUCUCAGGGUGUGAUCCAGAUGUUUUACCUUAUUGUCUUACUUUCUGAUGUAAACCCUUCUAUCUUCAAAAAAUUGAAAAAAGGAAAAAAUAAAAAGAAAAAAAAUCAAAAAAGCAAAAAUCAAAUGAAAUUAAUAUUUCAUUGUCAAGUAAUGUCUCUUUUCUUAAUCUUGUCAUUUUUCUUUCUUAUUUUCUUUUUGGUUCUGUUAAAUGCAGAUUUCAAUAAUAUGACAUGCUUGCGGACUUCAUGCCCAGAUCCUGAAAGCUGUCAGACCUCGAAAUAAUGAAUCAAGGAUUAGAUCUCAAUGAAGAUAAAGUUUAAGAAAAUAAAACAAAGAGUUGGAACAAUUGAAGGAAAAUUGGUUCCUAGAUUGGAAAAGUCCAUACAUUGAAACAAGAGUACUGCCAAAAGAGUGCGUUGUACUUGGGACACAUCGAAGAAAAUGUCCCUGAAAUAACUGCCAAUGCAAAUGCAGUCAAAAGAUAAUAUGUUGGAUCCUCCAUAUAGUUCUAAUAUUCUCCGGUUGGGAUGACGAAGGAUUUCAUUCUCACUAUCCAAACACUUAACCCUUUGCAAACCCAUUUGAGCCAGUUACUCUUCUUUGAUUACCCUCUUUAGAACUAGAAAGUGUUAUUAAAAAAAAUUGAAAAAUGAAAACAAAGAAAAAAAAAGAAAAGGGGGGAAGAAAAGACAGAGAAAAUGAAAUGAAAAAAAUGAAAAACAAGAGGAAAAAGGAAAGGAAAAAGAAAGAGAAAACAAAGCAAAAUAGUAAAACAAAAGAAAAUCAAAAAACAAAGUUUUCCUGAACUAUGUUCGACUUGAUUCCGAAAGGAUACGUAGGCAACCUCUCUCUGGGGUACAGUCAUGCCAAAAUAAAAAUAAAAAGUCCACCAAAAAAUGAAACUGGAUCAGAUAUUAUAAUGGUUCGACGAUGAUCUCGCCCAAAAUGUUCCAAAGUUGUAAUUCAGUCCAAAUCAUUUUUACCCAAAUUCUUUCAAAUCCUUCCUAUCAAUCGGUGAGACUAUUUAAGGACAGAAGAAUACAGUUACUUGGAUUCGAUACAGUCAAAAUGAGAGAAAUAAAAUGAGAGAGUCUUAUUGGUGAAAACCCACACGGGCACCGUGAGGCGACAGUAAGCAAUCAAAAUGAGAUAAAUAAAAUUAGAGAGUCUUAUUGGUGAAAACCCACACGGAUACGUAAGGCGAUGGUAAGCAGAGAAAUUGAAAAUGAGAGAGUCUUGCUGGUGAAAACUCGCAAGAGCACUACAAGGCGAUGGUGAGAAAAGAAAUGAGAGUGGUCAGCUAGUAAAAACCCGUAAAGGGCGACACUGAUCAAAAAAAGAUCCUCACAGCCAUUGACAUCGACAGAGUCCUGGCAAGGUUUCUCGAUUUUGAGGCAAAAGUUAUGAUGAAUUUCUGAGAGUUGGAUGGUUUACACAGAUCAUGCAUCCAGUCCAAAAGGCAUGUCAUGUUCAUUGAAGUCUGUAUGCACUCCAGAUAAGUCCUUCUUUCUCCCCCCGAAAGAGAUACCUCUCGUCUAAAUUCACUAUCCAUUUCAUUGUUUGUUUUUCUUUGAACCCCUUUCAGUCAAACUCUAUUCCGAAUCAAAGACAAAGAAAGGAUGUCAAGAUUGAUUUACUAGGAUUUUGUUUGAUACGAGCCAAUAUUCAAGAAGAUACCCAGCCUCGGCAGGUGCAUCGGGUCGACUGGCCAUGAUGGCCGAUGCUUUGAAAUAAAAAGAAACUCCUGAAAAGAAAGGAAAUCAAAGUCAAAGUCCUAUAAAGGCAAAUGAAGUUGAAAAGGUUAAGUCCCACGUAGCUAACUGUCUCGGGAAAGGUUUGAAAAGCCAAUGAACCCCAAAUGCUCUGAAAUUGAAGUUGAAAGAAAGAAGCCAGAACUAAACGGCCUACGAAGGAGAUAUAAAGUUGGAAAAGGUAAGUCCCAUGCGACUAGCCGUUGCAGCAAGUUUGAGGAGCCAAAAAGUUCCCUGAUGCUCCGAAGAAAAAAAAGAAAAGGAAGUCAGAAAGGAAAGGCCUAUGAAGGCAAAAUAAAGUCGGAAAGGUUGAGUUCCAUUGACCAACCGUCGUGGCAAAGUCUAGAAAAAACCAGAGGUUCUCCAGGGCCUGAAAUGAACUUGGUCCCCAGGAAACAAGCAGUUGCAAUUGAGAUCUUCAUCAAAGAAGCCGGGCCGAGAUCAAAUGAUUGAAACAAUCAAGGCCACAAAACCAACCACCAUUUUAAACUAAUAAUUUUUCUUUAUUUGAAAACAUGAAACAGGUUCCAUCCAAAGCAACCUUGUAAGAAGCAGGUGCAACCAAAUAGAAACAGCGCAAGGGCUAGAAACAGCUUUGCAACAAUAAUCUAUCAAUAAGGGAAGUCUCCUCCGAAUUCUUUCCUGCAUUUUUACUAAUUUUCUUAAAAACCAAAAAAAAAAGAAUAAUAUAAGAAGAAAAUUCAAAAAGCAAAUGGUAUCUUAGGACCCCCAAUCUCUACUUUUACGCUUUUCCAACAUAGGGUCUCCAUUCCCUAGUUGAUUUUAGUUUUUGACAUAGGGUCUCCACUCCCUAGUCACCUUUUGCCAACAUAGAGUCUCUACUCCCUAGUUGAGAUUAUUUUAGACAUAGGGUCUCCACUCCCUAGUCGCCNNNUNNCNANNNACCUCCACUCACUAGUUGAGAUUAUGUUUAGACAUAGGGUCUCCACUCCCUAGUCACUUUUUGCCAGCAUAGGGUCUCUACUCCCUAGUUGAGUUUAUUCUUAGACAUAGGGUCUCCACUCCCUAGUCGCCUUUGGCUAAUAUAGGGUCUCCACUCCCUAACUGAGAUUAUUUUUAGACAUAGGGUAUCCACUCCCUAGUCGACUUUUGCCAACAUAGGGUCUCCACUCUCUAGUUGAGACUAGGCAUAGGAUCUCCACUCACUAGUCGCCUUGUGCUAACAUAGGGUCUCCACUCCUUAGUUGAGGUUAUUUUAGAUAUAGGGUCUCCACUCCCUAGUCGCCUUUUGCCAACAUUGGGUCUCCACUCCCUAGUUGGGAUUAUUUUAGACAUAGGAUCUCCACUCCCUAGUCGCCUUUUGCCAACAGAGGGUCUUUACUCCCUAGUUGAGAUUAUUUUAGACAUAGGGUCUUCACUCCCUAGUCGCCUUUUGCCAACAUAGGGUCUCCACUCCCUAGUUGAGAUUUUAGACAUACGGUCUUCACUCUCUAGUCGCCUUUUGCCAACAUAGAGUCUCCACUCCCUAGUUGAGAUUAUUUUUAGACAUAGGGUCUCCACUCCUAGUCGCCUUUUGACAGCAUAGGGUCUCCACUCCCUAGUUGAUUUUUAGUAUAGAUAUAGGGAUCCACUCCCUAAUCUCUUUCCCAAGGAUACACAAUCCUUAUUAGCUUUCAAUAAAGAAAUAGUUUAGAAUUUUGUUACAAUAGCUCACGAAAUUUUUCCUAGUGAAAACUGGGGCAGGAAAAGAUCGUUCGUUUGUUUGCUUUGGUGCCUAAACAGGUUUUCACCAUGAGGAACAAGGUUUGAGAUGACCAGAAGAAGAAGUCUCAACCCAAACAAAAGAAAAAAACAAGAAAAGAAGUGAACUCAAAGUGCAGAAGCGGAGAAAGAUGCGGAAUGUUUAAAAUAUGAUUGAAGUCACAAGCUUCGCAUGUCCCGCCUUGAUCCGAAAAGCUGAAGAAGAAGGAACCAGCACCUGCAGCUAACAAGUAUCAAGAUUCAGAUCAGAGUCCGCCUGAAGAACCAACCAAGACUCAAGAUCAAGCUUCAAAAGACUCAUAGAUAGGAAUCUUGUAACUCGUAGCUGAUAGGCUUAGUUCGUCUUUUUAAUUUUGAUUUUGAUGUAAUAACGAGACCACGGACCGAAACCUUGACGACACCUCGCUCGGUUUCAACCUCGUACUCCGUCACCUCAUUCACUUCUGAACUACACAUGACCUGAUUCCUUUAUAGCCAAAGAUAUGUAGGUAGCUCAGAUACCAGAGCUCAGUCACAUUCUCAUUUCUUUUAGCUUUUGGCCUCUCUAAAUAAGGGUCNNNNNNNNNNNNNNNNNNNNNNNNNCAGCUGUAGACAUGUGAUUUUUUGACUCUCCCCAAGAUUUUUCAUAUUUUUAGCACCUAAGUAUUUAAUUUAGGCCUAAUAUAGAUAUUUUAAUAAAUUUUGACUCUUUUACUUUAUUAUAUUACAAGAAAAUAAAAAUUAGAAAAAAUAAUUUCAUUAAUGUGUUGUAGUCAUUUUUAAUCUUGAAAAAUACCAAAAAAUAGUUUUGUUUUAACGGUCAGUCUCAUUUUAAUAGUUAUUUUACUUAAGUAGGACUAAUUAAUAGAUGAGAUCGUAUUUUAAUCUCGUUCGCGGGGAAAAAAGAAUACUUGAGCUUGAGCAACCCAUUUUUAGGCCUAAUUUUAGACCUAGCCCAUAAUUCCCAAGCCCAUAAUUCCUAGGCCCCAUACCCGUAACCUAAUACCUACCCCUAUAUAAUAGUACCUAAUCCCUAAAUUGACCUAAACUCUAUUAAACACUAUUCCGCCGUUCUUCUUCAAAAUGAAAAAUACACAAAAAAGGAAGACCAACAAAAGCUGACUCUAGGACCGAAAAGGCUGACAGCCGCAGUGCAAUGGAAAACUCGCUCCCCAUUUCCAAUUCCUGUAAGCACAACGCACUUUGUUCAAUUUAAACUGAGCCAUAUAUCCGUUUAAACUCAUAUAAUAAUCUUCAAACAAAGUGGCGCCGCAAUUGAUACGACAUCCCCACGCCGAUCUACUAAGGCUCAAACACAAAUAGCCAUUUUGGGAUUUUCUUCUACAAAGAAAGAAAUUAGCUGAAAUACAUAAAGAAUAUACAAAAAUAUUCAACACACCCAACCGCCAUCUUCAACAGAACCCGCUAAAAAUUCGACCACUCCUCUACACAGAAACGAAGCCAGCCACACAUAAUUCCCAUAAAAUUCCAGCCGACAUCACAUAACGAAAGAAAAAAAACAAAAACAGUCUCACACACAUACACACAAAGGAAGAAACAGAGGCGUGAGAAUGAGUAGCUGUUGGUCAUUUUUUAAGCUUGCCGGCGAGGUCCCUUCCGUGGUCGAUGGCAAAUUUUCCAGUCGAAAGGUUGCGUAAUCUUCAAGUUGGUGUAAUUUUAAUUCAAAUUCAGUGAAAAUUUGCUUCCGACGAGGUCCAUUUUUUAACUUUGCUUAAUUAAUUUUAACUGUUAUUCCUUGGGUGUUUGAGAUUUAAAUGAAAAUUUUGUUGAUUUAUGUUUUCCUAGUUGUGUGGUUAUAUCGCAGGAUUAAGGAAGUUAGCUCACUAGUUUAUAUAAUAACUUCUCUUAUUAAAAAUCUUGUUUUAAAGUACCAUGGUUUCUGUGAUAUGUUAGUUUAGCUAGAAGGUAAAAUGGGGUAAAACAUGGAGGUAUUUUGGAUUUGUGAUGAUAUUUCUUAGGGCAACUGACUGAAGAAUUGAUGUCACUUGUGAGGCAGUAUCCUUAAUUUGGUAUUUGGUUGUGUGCUUCUUAUUUUCUAUAUUCUUGAUAUUCCCUUGCCCUCAUAAUGAACCAGAAUGAAAUUGAGGUUUAAUUAUCAAUAGCCUGUGAUUUCUCCUGUCAUAAUGGUUGCAUCUCGACAGUUAGUGAUUUCCAGCUACGCUGGUUUUUGGGUUUGAAGUUUCAUGGGUCGAUUCAGUGUUUAUGAUUCUAGACAAAAUUGGUGAAAUCUGGUUAUUUUGGUUUAUUCACGUUAGAAUAAAUGGGGGAGUGCCAUGCCAAACAAAAUUUAUAAUCUAUGGCCCUCAAAAAAUUAAUUCAAACAUCCUUUGAAAAAAUAGGCUUGAGGUGUGCCAUUUCAGUAAAUAACUCAUAGCCCUUGUUAAUUAUUUUUAAAAAUCAAGGUGUUCCAUCAAUUGAAUUUUCCAUGGCCCUCGCAAACAUUGUUAAUAUGAAAUCUCGUAGUUGCUUUAGGUGCGCUAUUUAAAUUGAUUUCCUUUAUUUAUUAAAUUCGGGUGUGCAUUUCAUGUGACCCACUUUCAAUUCUCAACAACGUUAUAUAGAAUGUGUCGUGGACCCCGGGUGCAUUUCAUGUGGCGUGGUUCAAGGCGUGUUUUAAAUAACGUUGAAUCUUCUAAAAAUGAUUAAAAGUGGUUAAUAAGUUAAAAAUGUACCAUAGGUUAAAACAUGUAUUAAAAUCAGAUAAUAGGCCAAUAAUAUUUGUUUAAGCGACCGUCCUAAAACCACGGAACCUGGGAAUGCCUAACACCUUAUCCCGGGUUAACAGAAUUCCUUACUUAGAAUUUCUGGUUCGCACACUUCAAAAGAAAAGUCGAAUUUCCUCGAUUUGGGAUUUAAAAAUAAACCGGUGACUUGGGACACCAAUUAAAAUAUUUCAAGGGGCGAUUCGAAAAAUCAAAUAAAUAAUCUCAUUUCGAAUAAUGUCACUUAAAGUGGAAAAAUUCCCUUAUAUAUCCUCUGAGGUGUGUAAAAAGGAGGUUUGACACACGUGUUGAAAACACUAAAAUCCAGGGCUUCCCCUUCUACGAACAAGGGUCCGCAUCUGCGAGACCGCUUCUGCAAAACAAAGAUCGCACAUGCGACCACUGGCGCUUCUACGCCCCUACCUUUGCAGAAGUGAAGGCGCUUCUGCGGAUAAUUUCCCGCUUUUGUGACCACUGCUGGGCGAGGCUAGCUUCGCAUCUGCAACUCAAAUCUCUCUUAUGCGAGUCCGAACCCAUGGCCAAAUCCCACCGCAAUUGUGAUGAUACUAGAAUAAGCCCAACAUCAGUAAUCCUCUAACUCCAAAAACGAUCCGAAAAUGAUUUGAAUCAGACCCGAGGCCCCCAGGACCUCAACCAGAAAUACCAACAAGUCCUAGAACAUCAUACGAACUUAGUCGAGCCUUUAAAUCACAUAAAACAAUGCUAAAACCACGAAUUUAACUGCUUAUUUAUGAUUUCUAUAUUUUUCCCGAAACUGAAUUGUCUCUUUGUUUUCUUUUUCCGUAACAGUCUUUCAAUUAUUUAAAUACUACAUUUAUCAUUUCUUACGUGCAAAUACUUGAGAACUUGCUAUUUAUUGUUGCAUAAAUCAUGCUCAACAUCAUAUUCCACUCGUGUGUAAUCAAUCCGAUAGCAAUACUUGAUGAGUAUUUGCGCUCUUCCGAUAUAUCACCAUUUAAAUUUGGAAAGGACCAUUUGUGGUAAAACUAGUCGAUCAGCGGUGCGUUUGACGGUUCCGUGCCUUUCCCCAUCAAGUUGCCCGCUUGAGGGUCCCAAUCUAGACCACCAUAGCAGCCUUACACUGAUUAAUUGUACAUGUAUCAUGGUCAAACCUAGUCAAGUUAAUAUGUUGUCCACAUAAUAACCCUUUAAGACAAGCCUCGUCCAAAAGUCAUUGGGUGUUCCACAAUCCCAACGGACGUAAUCAUGAUUGUGUGCAUUAAUUUGGAGAAAUAAGUGCCAAUAUGCUAAUCAUUACUAUAUAAAUAGACGAAUCUAGAGGGGAAAGGGCCUAACUAUCUCUUGGUUUGCAAAAAAUGAGGCAUGAAGUCCCCAGAUUCGGUAUGGUCGGCAACAUACCUCCCUUUUUGAUAGACUGGUGGAGGGACCUUCCCUCGAGUGACCAGAAUCAUAUGAAAAGAGUCUUAGGGAAUUUUCCGUCACUAUUGUAUCUUCAAUCAAACAAAAUGUUGAUCGAGGCUGCCACUCUAUUUUGGGAUAAGGAAAGGGUUGUGUUCCGCUUCGGGGAUAUAGAAAUGACUCCCCUCCUAGAAGAAAUAGGAGGAUUUGUUGGGAUGCCUUGAGAUAGCCCUGGUCUGCUAGCACAUGUAAAUCGCACCACUAGAGGGUUCCUUAAGAUGAUGGGGCUGAAGAAAAAUGAUGAUUUGGAGUGCGUGAAAAACUCCUACAUACCUUUUGGUUUCCUUUAUGAAAGAUACGGUCACAAUAGCUCUUACCGUAUUUUUGAUGAUGAGUUCUCAAUCACCUCUUUGGGCUGGACUCAUCGUAGUGUAUUCGUGUUCAUUGUGUGCUUCUUGGGCAUGCUGGUAUUCCCAAUCUAUGGGAUAUAAUCAAUAGUAGGCUGGACAUGGUGGCCAAAACUCUGAUGGACGGGAUCGAGAGGCAAACAUAUACUAUUGUCCCUAUGAUCAUUGCGGAUAUGUACCGGGCAUUGGAACGUUGUCAGAAGGGGUCCAGAUUCUUUGAGGGUUGCAAUUUGCUAUUACAUGUCUGGCUGUUAGACCAUAUCCGAAGGGGUAAUACCGCCAAGAGUUUCCAUGAAGGCCGUGGAAUGACCACAUAGCCUUCCAUCACCCUAAGAAGAUGACUUACAUUCCAGACAUGUUCGAUCAACCUAAGGAUGCUGUAGGAUGGGUGCAGUUUUUCAACAAGUUGACUAAGGACAAGUUUCAGUGAAUGUUCAAGUGGUUCCCCACCGACAAGUUCACCAUAAGAUCCAGAGAUGUCCCACAUUUGGUGUUGAUCGGGUUAAGAGGGAUAUACCCUUAUGCUCCCUCUAGAGUUAUAAGACAGGCCGACAGGAGACAAGUCAUACCACGGGUUGCUAAUAUGAGUCACUUCAUAGCUGAUUUCCAGGGUAACACCAUCCAUAUAAGAAUAAAGCACAACAUAUAUGGACUUUGAAGAUUAUUGUGGAGAAGGAUACCAUCGAGACAGAUCGAUAUCAUGUGGGCCAUUCAUACUUUUCACCCUAAUGGUUGGAUGAUAAUCUAUCAUGAGUCUUUAAGCCAAGGGUUGGUCAAGGAAAUAAGGUCAUAGAUGAGUUUGCCGAAGCAAAGGUGAACUACAACAAGCUGAUCAAAAGAGUUCGAGAGUCUGAAGCUGAGCCUAUGGCACAACAUAAGGCCGACAUGGAAAUGAUUAAUAAUGGAAAGAAAGAGCUAUUAAAUCUAGCUAGGGGCUGUAAUAUCUAGAAUACAGUUUAAUGGAAUUGGAGGGGAAGAUAAGGAAGAGGGUCAGCGACUGCUAAAACGCUGAAGGAAAUUAAGGAGGGCAUCUGGCAAGGGCAUUCCUACUGCUGAACCUGCGCGAGCUGGGAGAGUUGAUCGACAACAACAUCCGAUCAGGAGAGGGUCCUUAUGGGACCAAGUAGAUUAGAUUUACUUGCUUUCCUUUUAAAUGUAAUAAGGCCAAGUGCCACUAGCAACAUUAUCUUAGUUGGUGUCGUUUUGGAUCGUUUACUUUUACAUUAAUGAAAUGAGGCAAUUAUUGAUACUGAAUUUCUCCAAAUUUAUUUGUUGCUAGGCCUACCUCGGGCACAACGGGGCUCCCAAAUUAGGACGCGAGUUUAUAUUCCUGCAACAUGUGUUUAAAUACUGCAAACAUUUCAGAACCCUUACUGACUUGUUUACCUUUUGUUUUUCUUUAUUCUUUAUUCUCAUCCCAUAAGAUUGGUUCGCAC
rnacentral:lncRNA from 1 species